rnacentral:rRNA from 1 species
GUGGGGAAUAUUGGACAAUGGGCGAAAGCCUGAUCCAGCAAUGCCGCGUGAGUGAUGAAGGCCCUAGGGUUGUAAAGCUCUUUUACCCGGGAUGAUAAUGACAGUACCGGGAGAAUAAGCUGCGGCUAACUUCGUGCCAGCAGCCGCGGUAAUACGAGGGGAGCUAGCGUUGUUCGGAAUUACUGGGCGUAAAGCGCGCGUAGGCGGUUUUUUAAGUCAGAGGUGAAAGCCCGGGGCUCAACCCCGGAAUAGCCUUUGAAACUGGAAAACUAGAAUCUUGGAGAGGUCAGUGGAAUUCCGAGUGUAGAGGUGAAAUUCGUAGAUAUUCGGAAGAACACCAGUGGCGAAGGCGACUGACUGGACAAGUAUUGACGCUGAGGUGCGAAAGCGUGGGGAGCAAACAGGAUUAGAUACCCGGGUAGUCC